rnacentral:tRNA from 1 species
GAGGGUAUAGCCCAGUGGGAGAGCACGUGCUUAGCAUGCACGAGGUGCUGGGUUCAAUCCCUAGUCCCUCCA